rnacentral:tRNA from 1 species
AAAAAAAUAAGCUAAUUCUAAGCUAAUGAACUCAUACUUCAUCUAUAAAGGAAACUUCCUUUUUUUUUU